rnacentral:rRNA from 1 species
UACGUAGGGGGCAAGCGUUGUCCGGAUUCAUUGGGCGUAAAGAGCGUGUAGGCGGCCAGGUAGGUCGGUUGUGAAAACUGGAGGCUCAACCUUCAGAGGUCGACCGAAACCAUCUGGCUAGAGUCCGGGAGAGGAGAGUGGAAUUCCUGGUGUAGCGGUGAAAUGCGCAGAUAUCAGGAAGAACACCCGUGGCGAAAGCGGCUCUCUGGAACGGUACUGACGUUGAGACGCGAAAGCGUGGGGAGCGAACAGG